rnacentral:lncRNA from 1 species
CUGAAUGUCUUUGGGCCCGGUCAGCUGUAAUUCCAGUCACAUGGAAGACUCAGAGCAGCCAACCUACAUGAAAGUCAUCUGUAAACUGUAUCCCACUAAAAAAGCUGAUGUGAGUGUACACUUCCUGCACUAAGCACUUCACAUGUGUUAUAUACUAAUACUCACAACAUUCUAGGUCUGCACUAUUAUUGUCUUCAGCUAAAAAUGAGGCAGCUGUAGCUUUCCCACCGUCUCCACAUUACCAAAUCCCGGGGUGCCUGGUAAGUCACCAUCUCACUCGCCCAACAUGGUGUUUGAGGUGGUGACCAGCCCUCCCCAUGUGGAUGGCACUCUCUCUCAGCUCUCCCUAUGAUGGGUGCCUGCUUCACUGUCUC